UGCCCCCUGGCUGAGUUGGUUACAGCGUCCGACUGUUAUCAUGUGAUUUAUCACGUGAGGGCCAUCGGAAGGUCGUGAGUUCGAGCCUCACGGGGGCAG
rnacentral:tRNA from 1 species